rnacentral:rRNA from 1 species
CUUUACUGUAGCUUUGUAUUGGACUUUGAACAGAUCUGUGUAGGAUAGGUGGGAGGCUUUGAAGCAGGGUCGCUAGAUCUUGUGGAGCCAACGUUGAAAUACCACCCUGGUGUGUUUGAGGUUCUAACCUAGGCCCGUGAUCCGGGUCGGGGACAGUGCAUGGUAGGCAGUUUGACUGGGGCGGUCUCCUCCCAAAGCGUAACGGAGGAGUUCGAAGGUACGCUAGGUACGGUCGGACAUCGUGCUAAUAGUGCAAUGGCAUAAGCGUGCUUAACUGCGAGACUGACAAGUCGAGCAGAUGCGAAAGCAGGACAUAGUGAUCCGGUGGUUCUGUAUGGAAGGGCCAUCGCUCAACGGAUAAAAGGUA